rnacentral:rRNA from 1 species
UCUUUUAUAAAGGAAUAAAGUCGGGUAUGCAUACCCGUUUGCAUGUACUUUAUGAAUAAGGAUCGGCUAACUCCGUGCCAGCAGCCGCGGUAAUACGGAGGAUCCGAGCGUUAUCCGGAUUUAUUGGGUUUAAAGGGAGCGUAGAUGGAUGUUUAAGUCAGUUGUGAAAGUUUGCGGCUCAACCGUAAAAUUGCAGUUGAUACUGGAUGUCUUGAGUGCAGUUGAGGCAGGCGGAAUUCGUGGUGUAGCGGUGAAAUGCUUAGAUAUCACGAAGAACUCCGAUUGCGAAGGCAGCCUGCUAAGCUGCAACUGACAUUGAGGCUCGAAAGUGUGGGUAUCAAACAGGAUUAGAUACCCUGGUAGUCCACACGGUAAACGAUGAAUACUCGCUGUUUGCGAUAUACGGCAAGCGGCCAAGCGAAAGCGUUAAGUACUCCACCUGGGGAGUACG